AUAAAAUUUUGUGAUAAUUUAAUAAUGUAGUUAAGAGAUAUCUGGUUUUUAGCACAAGAGGGUUUUGAAAGUUGGUAGUUUGGAGUUGGAUAGGGUUUUUGUGAUAUUUAAAGAUCUAUCUAUUAGAUCAAGAUGAAAUUUGGCAUAGUGCUGAAGGACUUGAAGAUCAAGUUGCAUACCAAUUUUGAAUCAAAGUUAAUAGUUGUAGAAGGAGAAAUCACUACUGGGAUUUUUGCUUCACUUUUUAAGUUGGCAGUUGAGUGAUAUCAGUGCAAUUUUUGGAGGUUUUCUUACAAUCUGUAAGUUAGAUUAGGCUGAAAAUUCUUGAGCAUAUAGAAGACUUACCUUGACAAUUACAUGCAAAAUUUUACAUCAAGAAGACUGUCUAAUUAGAAGUUACCACUUAUUAAAUCUCUUUGAUAAAGAUUGGAGCUUAUAAGAAAAAUCUAAAUUACUUAAAUAUGAAAUUAACAAGAUAAUU
rnacentral:lncRNA from 1 species